GCGACCUGGCUCACACCGGUUUAAACUCAGAUCAUGUAAAAUUUUAAAGGUCGAACAGACCUAACCCCUUAGCUUCUGCACCGAAGAUAAAUUUUAAUCCAACAUCGAGGUCGCAAUCUUCUCCUUCGAUAAGAACUCUUAGAAAAAUUACGCUGUUAUCCCUAAGGUAAUUUAAUCUUAUAAUCUAAAUUUUAGGAUCAUAAAUAUACAAAUAAAUACUUCCAUACAAAAAAAGUUAACUUAAUUUUUCUAUCACCCCAACAAAAUAUUUAUAUAAUAAACUUGAACAAACAAUCUUAAAGCCCAAGUAAAAUAAUUAAAUAUAAAACUCUAUAGGGUCUUCUCGUCUUCUAUGAAAAUUUAAGCUUUUUCACUUAAAAAUAAAAUUCUAAUAAAUUCUUCAAGAGACAGCAACUUUCUCAUCAAACCCUUCAUACAAGCUUCCAAUUAAAAAACUAAUGAUUAUGCUACCUUUGCACGGUCAAAAUACCGCGGCCRUUUAAUAACUCAGCGGGCAGGUCAGACUUGAAAUCAUAAUCAACAAGUCAUGUUUU
rnacentral:rRNA from 1 species